UACGAAGGGGGCUAGCGUUGCUCGGAAUUACUGGGCGUAAAGCGCACGUAGGCGGUCUUUUAAGUCGGGGGUGAAAUCCUGGAGCUCAACUCCAGAACUGCCUCGAUACUGGAAGACUUGAGUCCGGGAGAGGUGGAGUGGAACUGCGAGUGUAGAGGUGAAAUUCGUAGAUAUCGCAAGAACACCAGUGGCGAAGGCGGCUCACUGGCCCGGUACUGAC
rnacentral:rRNA from 1 species